rnacentral:tRNA from 2 species
GGGCGUGUGGUCUAGUGGUAUGAUUCUCGCUUUGGGUCUAACAGCCUGGCGAAGCUUCGAUAAACGGAGUUCUCACUACUGCAAAGCAUGCGAGAGGCCCUGGGUUCAAUUCCCAGCUCGCCCC